rnacentral:rRNA from 1 species
GAGUUUGAUCGUGGCUCAGGACGAACGCUGGCGGCGCGCCUAACACAUGCAAGUCGAGCGAGAACCGGAGCGUUCGGCUCCGGGGACAGCGGCGAACGGGUGAGUAACACGUGGAUAACCUGCCCUCGGCACCGGAAUAGCCCGGGAAACCCGGAUUAAUGCCGGAUAGCCCCAUAUCCCUGCGGGGAACGUGGGAAAAGGUAGCUUCGGCCUCUGGCCGAGGAUGGGUCCGCGGUGGAUUAGCUUGUUGGCGGGGUAAUGGCCCACCAAGGCGACGAUCCAUAGCUGGUCUGAGAGGACGAUCAGCCACACUGGGACUGAGACACGGCCCAGACUCCUACGGGAGGCAGCAGUGGGGAAUCUUGCGCAAUGGGCGAAAGCCUGACGCAGCGACGCCGCGUGCGGGAAGAAGGCCUUAGGGUUGUAAACCGC